AAAAAGGGGUACUUGCUAAAUGUGAAGAGACUUGUGUAUGUGCUGAGUGCUGACUAUUUGAAGAAGCUCCUGUUCUGGAAUCAUUACUUGACACCUGCAUUUUGUACACUGCUCCAUGCAAUACAUCUCACCAUCCUCCUAUUGCAACUCCCCAACAGGCGCCUCAUUGAGCCAUAGAAAAUGAAUGAAAUCAUACAAUUUUGCGCUUACGCUCACCUUGUAAGGUGUUGGGUUCAGCCUUCUCAUAUGAUCAGGACGCAUUUGCUCGAGCUGCUUGAUGCAACGCUCUCUAAUUUCCUUGAGAGGAGGCAAAUCUUCUCUAGCUUUACCUGAGAUCCCAGGCCAAUAACACUUUAGAAGCUCCUCAACCUUCUGUGGAACCACAUAUGCUCUCUUGGAUUCAUUAAAAGGAUGACGACACAAUAUCCGUUCUCCCACCUUUGGAGACGGUUCAUUUUCCCCAGUCAUUAUGUCCACCAGGGGGUAGCCUUCCUUGCCAUACAAUCUGAAACACCCUUUUUUACAUGGUAUAGAAACCUUAGAAACAUCUUCAGAAAGUUUGAUGCGAGGUUGAUUGUUUAUCUCAACAAGCUUGAAGACACAGCCCAAAGCAGCUUGAGUAAAACAAGUGACAAGAUAGGUGCCUAUUCCAAAUGCAUCCACUUCAUGACCCUGCUUGUUUAAAGCAUCUAAAGUUUCCUCAUUGAGAUCAUUACUAGCAGUGAUGCUAGUCCUUCCAAAACCGGGCACUCCAAAUUCCUUCUCAAUGGCACAAAAGAAUUUUCGGGCCUCACAUGACAAAUAUGCUAGGUCACCAGAGUCCAGCCUAAUGCCCACCGCUUUGUAGCCCAGAUCACUGAGCGCUAGAGCAACAGCACAAAAGUUGGGGAUUCCACUCCUUAUAACAUCAUAUGUGUCUACAAGAGCUAGGAGAUUAUUUGGGAAUGCCAGCGCAUAUGAGGUGAAAGCUGCAAGCUCGCUUUGAUUGGUCUCAACAAAAACGCCACGUAAUGAAUUUGACCACUUAAUUUUGUCCAACCAUGUCUGAACCAAACUGACAAAAUCCUCACAGCUGCUUGAGCCAUCAGAGCUCUGGAGUGACUUUUCCACAAUCUCAUCAAGGCUCAUGUAUGAACUAACAAAAGCAUGGGAAUGUGUUCCACGAAGAGGUAUCCCAAAGAACCUCCCAGCUGCAACAUUGCUUGUUGCAUCAAAUCCUCCAAUGUAGCAGUACUUUGAUGCUCCUAUUCCACCAUCGGGUCCCUGAGCCCGUCGAAGACCAAAUUCUAGCAGCAUUUUUGUUUUUCCAGCAACAAAUCGAUGCCUUGCUGCAUUUGUUGCCACCAGUGAUGCAUAAUUAACAAGAUUCAGUAACGGAGUUUCCAGCAAUUGAACCACAGCAAUUGGCCCUUCAAUUCGUAGCAGGGGAACCUUUGGGAAGACAACUGAUCCCUCUGGAACAGCAUACAAUUCAACUUCAGAGCAGUCAAGUCCUCUAAGAUAAUCACAGAAGCCAUCCUCACAAGAACCAGGCAAAGUUUCACGGAUGAAAGAGAUCUCAUCCUCGGUGAAUUUGAAAUUAGCAAUGAACCUUAUGCAUUCUUCUAAUCCAGCAAAGACUGUAUACUCACCACCAAAUGGAUUCUUCCGAAAAUAUAAAUCAAACACAGCUCGCUCUUGAUGC
rnacentral:misc_RNA from 1 species